UUUCUUGUAUUGCUUAUUUCAAGUUCCAAAUUUCCUCUUUUCGGUUUUUCCCUUUUAUGGUUUAGGGUUCUGUUUGAGUAAUGCCGAAUUGUCUCAGCUUGUUUAUGAGCUCCUUCAAUGGCCAGUAAGCGUUCCUCUUUAACAUUUUCAAACAAAAUCCUCAAAUAGGUUAAUUUAACUGCCUGUUUUUCUUCACUUUCGUGUGCUAAUACACUCCAAGUUACUGAUUAUGAAGCAAAAGUUCAAUCUUUGAGGAAUAAGCUAUACCCGGAUAAUCUUAUCCGGGUUUUGGAUAGCACUGGCGACUUGAACUCUGCUAUGAAGAUAUUUAAAGGGGUAUCUCUCCAAAGAGGGUUUCAACACAGCUGAGACUUAUGGGAAGAUAAUUUUGUAGCUGGGUUUGGCUGGAGAUGUUGAACAAAUGGAGGGGUUUUGUCAAAAUAUGGUGAAAUUCAUUAGUUGAAUCGUUUGUUAAAUGUAAUAGGGUGAAUGAGAGUAUGAAUUUGGGUGGUUUGAAGCCCUCAGUUGAUGUGUUUAACGUUUUGUUAGGUGCCAUUGUGAAGAAGAAGAGAGGUAUUGAAGAUGAGGUGUUUAUUUAUUAGGAGAUGGUGACAGCAGGAGUUUUGCCAAAUGUUCAUACUUUGAACUAUGUGUUGAGAUAAUAAUUAUAAAAGGUCUUAUUUUGAGCAAACGAGUGGAUGAUUCGGUUAUCAUUUUAGGCGAGAUUUUUAUUGCUGGAUUUGAGCUGGAAUUAAGCUUCUAUACCUGUACAAUACCACUGUUUUGUAGGGAAAAUAAACUAGGGGAGAGAAUCCGACUGUUAAGGUUGAUGAGAGCUUCAAAUCUUUUGCCGGUUGAGUUGACUUAUAGGGAGUUAAUUAGACGCAUGUGUGAGACCCAUACUUUAGAUUACGCAAAUAAUCUUCUUGAAGAGAUGAUGGAAAACGGUAGAACACCUGCUGUUGAUGUGCUUGUUGAUCUAGUAGUAGGACUUUGUGCAAUAGGAAAAUUUGAAGAGUAUGAAUUUCUUGGAAGACAAAUGUGGUUACAUAACUUCUCCAUACAAUGCUAUGCUUGAAGGCUGCUGCAAUGCUGGUAAAGUUUUUCUGGCAAAACGUAUCCUGGACAAAAUGGCUGAGAGAAACAUAACUGAUUGUGAUUCUUGGAAUAUUCUAAUCACAUGGCCUUGUGAGAAUAUGGAAAUAAGGAAAACUAAUGAACUUCUUUGUAGAAUGUUUAUUUUUUCCAUAGUUUUGACUCUGCGACAUACUCGGCUCUUGUUGUAGGCAACUGUCAAUUGAGAAAGUAUGAGGAUGCUCUGCAGGUGUUCUAUCAGGUUUGUAUCGAAAAUUGGGUUUUGGGUUCUUUAUCUUAUUAGGAGUUGUGGAGAGCCUUUGCCAGAUAGAAAGAUUAUGGAGGCUGCUGAAGUAUUUCAUUACAUGUCGAAGAACAGAUGCCCCUUCAAUCCUUCUUCUUACAAUAUGCUGACAGGUGUCAUGUGUGGCAUGGGAAAAGUGGAUAAAGCAAUUAGGCUAAGGGGUUUGGCUUGCAGUUCUAAUACUUCUUAUAGUACUUUAACUUGCACUACAAUCAUGCAUGGAUUGUCAAAUUAAAAAUGGCUAAAGGACUAAUGAUAAUUCUCUCACAAAUUUUGGUGGAUGUGUGGUAGUGCUCUUGAUAUGGAAGUAUAUUGCAUCCUCAUAUGAAGCAUGAGUGCACAAAAUUGAAUUAAGGAUUCUGCUUUCUUUAAUUGAUGGUUAAUGAGGGUUUAGUGCCUGACCAAGAAACAAUGCGUACUCUUCUUUGUUGUUUGGCUAGCCAAUCUCACUUGCGCAUGGUUUUAAGUGGGAUUGAUAAACUAGUUUCUAAUAAUGAUGCUGUGGAUUCAUCUAUGUGUAACAUACUAAUCAAUCCUGAUUAUUGGAUCUGAUGUUGGAAAAAGGUUGGGUACCUGAUACUACAACUCAUGGACUGUUGGUUGGGUCUUUUAUCAAUAGAAAUACAGACGGUGAAACAUUUGCAUAGGAGGAUUCAAUGCAAUAUAGUGUUAGCAAAAUUCUCACCGAGGGAUUGGGAAAUACAUGACCAAGUUCCCACAGUUGACGAUGGAACUGUGAUUACAAAGUUUCUAAAUUACCCUGGUGGAAAACUCGCCAUGAUGGGAUAUAUCAAGCAGUGCCCUAAUAAGUUUGAAUUGGUAUCCACUUGUCCAUCAGACUAUUUGGAAUUUUAUUUUUUGGGUAGCAUGAAGAGGGCAGAAAGAUUAUAAUCAGCAAAGGAUUGAGGUCUGAGGGAAGACUGAUAUUGCAACCUGCAGGCUGGAGAUUGUUGACUAUUAUCGAGCAGCUGAAGUUCAUUCUUCAAUGAUAAGAUUGUUUUUGAACUCUAUCCAACCAGAGUUGCCACAGAAGCAGUUUUCAUCAAGUUCUAGUCAUUGAUAGAAACUUUUACCAGUAACUUGGUUAAGGGGUGACAGAGUUAGCACAAGUUUUCUUCAGCUGAAAUUCGGAAAUGGAAAUUAAAUAAUAGAUUCAAGAAACAAAUUGGUGUAAAGUGACAAUAUAGUUAAUGACUAAUUAAAAAACAUGUAAUUUAACUUGAUUGCUCAAAUGGACAAAUAUAUAUGACUUAGCUUGUC